rnacentral:rRNA from 1 species
GUGAGGAAUUUUCCGCAAUGGGCGAAAGCCUGACGGAGCAAUGCCGCGUGAAGGAUGAAGGCCUAUGGGUUGUAAACUUCUUUUCUCAGAAAAGAAUUAUGACGGUAUCUGAGGAAUAAGCAUCGGCUAACUCUGUGCCAGCAGCCGCGGUAAGACAGAGGAUGCAAGCGUUAUCCGGAAUGAUUGGGCGUAAAGCGUCUGUAGGUUGUUUAAAAAGUAUUCUGUCAAAGAUUAGGGCUUAACCCUAGAUAGGCAGAAUAAACUUUUAAGCUAGAGUUUGGUAGAGGCAGAGGGAAUUCCCGGUGGAGCGGUGAAAUGCGUAAAUAUCGGGAGGAACACCAAAGGCGAAGGCACUCUGCUGGGCCAAUACUAACACUGAGAGACGAAAGCGAGGGGAGCAAAUGGGAUUAGAUACCCUUGUAGUCC